ACAACACAUUAAUACCUAAUUAAUUUGUUUUCAGAAUAAAUUAAGAUUGAAAUCUUAAAGUACGAUGCAAAAGGCAAAUGGUGUAAAGAUUCUAGUGGCCCAAGAAUUGGAUUUAAAUUAUUUCGACGAUUCGUUGGGCACGAGGAGUUACAUUCACAUGGAAAGGCUGAUUACCGUCAUAUAAAUGAAGAUGAAAUGAGUCACGACAAAACCUGACGACAUCGGGAAAUAUUUUCUCUGAGGCUAUGAAAUAUGAAUAGAAAUCCAAGAAAUCCGAAAAAAAUACAAGAAAAAAUCACAAUAAAGAAGAAAACAGCAUUACCAAGAAACCGUCUUCAAAAGUUCUACCAAAAAGGCUGAGGACUGGAAUGUUCCCGUUGAAGUUUCGCAUAUCUAUCUCUGUAUAUAGCAGAUGGCAAAUUUAAAUAAAGCAUCCUAAGAACUUCAUCUACAUCCCAACGCAUAUGGAGAGUUACUACCACGAUUUUAACAUAUUUUUAAAGCAAGUAUGGAGCAUAUAGGUAAAGCAAGUAAAUUGUGUCUCACUUCUUGAAUGUCUAUAGGAGCAUAAACUUUCUUUUCAA